UACGGGGGGGGCAAGCGUUGUUCGGAAUUACUGGGCGUAAAGGGCUCGUAGGCGGCCAACUAAGUCAUACGUGAAAUCCCUCAGCUUAACUGGGGAACUGCGUGUGAUACUGGAUGGCUUGGAUUUGGGAGAGGGAUGCGGAAUUCCAGGUGUAGCGGUGAAAUGCGUAGAUAUCUGGAGGAACACCGGUGGCGAAGGCGGCAUCCUGGACCAAUAUUGACGCUGAGGAGCGAAAAGCUAGGGGAGCAAACGGG
rnacentral:rRNA from 1 species